AUUGAACGCUGGCGGCAUGCUUUACACAUGCAAGUCGAACGGUAACAGGCCUUCGGGUGCUGACGAGUGGCGAACGGGUGAGUAAUGCAUCGGAACGUGCCCAAUCGUGGGGGAUAACGUAGCGAAAGUUACGCUAAUACCGCAUAAGCCCUGAGGGGGAAAGCAGGGGAUCGCAAGACCUUGCGCGGAUGGAGCGGCCGAUGUCAGAUUAGCUAGUUGGUGGGGUAAAGGCCUACCAAGGCGACGAUCUGUAGCGGGUCUGAGAGGAUGAUCCGCCACACUGGGACUGAGACACGGCCCAGACUCCUACGGGAGGCAGCAGUGGGGAAUUUUGGACAAUGGGCGCAAGCCUGAUCCAGCCAUGCCGCGUGCGGGACGAAGGCCUUCGGUUGUAAACCG
rnacentral:rRNA from 1 species